rnacentral:rRNA from 1 species
UACGGAGGGUGCAAACGUUGUUCGGAAUCAUUGGGCGUAAAGCGCGCGUAGGCGGUCAGGUAAGUCCGGUGUGAAAGUCAUAGGCUCAACCUAUGAAUGCCGCUGGAAACUGCCUGACUUGAGUCCGGAAGGGGCGAGUGGAAUUCCUGGUGUAGCGGUGAAAUGCGUAGAUAUCUGGAGGAACACCGGUGGCGAAGGCGGCAUCCUGGACCAAUUCUGACGCUGAGUGAGCGAAAGCCAGGGGAGCAAACGGG